rnacentral:piRNA from 1 species
UGACACACCACUGAUGCCAAGUGUCUGGGU